GACGUAGGGGACGAGCGUUGUCCGGAUUCAUUGGGCGUAAAGCGCGCGUAGGCGGUUCGGUAAGUUGGGUGUGAAAACACGAGGCUCAACCUCGUGCGUGCAUCCGAUACUGCCGGACUAGAGGUAGGUAGGGGAGAUCGGAAUUCCUGGUGUAGCGGUGAAAUGCGCAGAUAUCAGGAGGAACACCGGUGGCGAAGGCGGAUCUCUGGGCCUUACCUGACGCUCAGGCGCGAAAGCGUGGGGAGCAAACAGG
rnacentral:rRNA from 1 species